AGAGUUUUGAGACGAGCUGCACGUCCACACGCCUUACCUGCCACGCUCAGAAAAGAGAUUUCGAGCUUGGCCAAGUAAGGAUUUAAAGGACGAGCAGAUGAAGAAAUCUCAUUGCCGGUGCAGCUAUACUGUUUUGCAAAGACCUUGCACGCGCGCGUCCACGCACGUGCAGACUUGCGAGCCGAGGACUUGCAGAAGUUGCUCUCCAAACCCUAAAGCCGAACAGGAUGGAUGGGCUCACCUUUGAAAUGCUCGAGUAGCACACGAGCCACGUGACUUAGGAUUGUUGACCCCCUCCCCGCCCCCACUGUGACUUUCCCCUUAGCAUUUUCUCUUCCGGCAUGCAGAACACGGAAUAAUCCAAUCAAAAUAAUGGCAUGCAGUAAAUUGUGAUGAGCGCUGCAGGUCAGGGAGCGGAGCAAGAUUUGGAGCAGGUUAGGUUAACCCUUGGGUUACCAUAACCGUAACCCGCAAGUGCCUUUGACCUGCAGCGCUUUUGAUUAUUCUGUAUUAGGGUUGGGGGUAACAGACAGGCACAAAGCCCACCCGCCCGCAAACGAACGAGAGAAAGCCGAGGCCAAGGGGAGCGGCCGGACUGUUCACGUGUGGGCGCGGGGGGUGGGACGCCCAUCCAGCUUGAAAUAAACCUAAUGGGACAUAAAAUGUGUCCUCGGUGUGAACUCGGGCUUUUCCAAUCCAAAAAAAAAAACUUCCAUCAAGUCCCUUUUCAGCGUGGCGACACGGAGGUGAAGACAAGGAGAGAACUCGGAGGGCUCUGCUGCAUGCUGAGCGCAUGUGGCCCGCCUGUAUACAACACAACCAUUUCUCCAACGUGUCGGCCAACAUAAAGGCUCCUCCGCUCAUUUUUCAGACGCGUCUCAUCGCUAUUCUGUGGACAGGCGACCUCCCUCCAUCCUUCCAUCCCCGCUGCAGAUGCGCUAGCUCGCUCGCGCUUUUGCUCCAAAUUGAGCAAGUCCAUUCAAAACACACAUUUAGCAAAAUCCAACUCAUAUGUUUUUUCUUUGUGCUGCGUAAGAAUUACGGUGAAGAGCUUUUUGUGAAUCCACUAUGCCCCCUCCCUUUCCCGAGAGGAAAGGUGAUUUAUAUUAGCCUAUUCAUGUCACAAAUUCAGUAAUUUAUCAAAUUCGUGUGGAUUAUUUUUUUUUUUGGGUGUGAUGUUUGGAUCCAUUUGAGCUAAAACGCAAAUAUGGGAGAAUCUAAAAGUCCUGGUAAAUAUUUGGAAUGGUUUUGCUUCGAAAAAACAAAACAAGGGCGGAAAAAAAAAUACAACUCCUGCGGGCCAUGCUGAUCACGUGGGGCUGCUGUUCUAACAAUGCAUGGUGCAACGAUUUCAUUCAUGCACUUGAUUUUACACACGUGGAAAGCCAACUUGCUGGAUGGUGUGUGCACGUCAAAAAGCAAUUGAACGCGGGCGAUCCCAAACAUUGUCGACCCCCCCCCCCC